rnacentral:rRNA from 1 species
AAAUGCGAUCAUACCAGCCCUAAUGCACCGGAUCCCAUCAGAACUCCACAGUUAAGCGUGCGUGGGCAAAAGUAGUACUUGGAUGGGCGACCUCCUUGGAAGUCCUCAUGUUGCACAUU